AUUGAACGCUGGCGGCAGGCCUAACACAUGCAAGUCGAGCGAGCGGCGGACGGGUGAGUAAUGUCUGGGAAAAUGCCUGAUGGAGGGGGAUAACUACUGGAAACGGUAGCUAAUACCGCAUACCAUCAGAUGUGCCCAGAUGGGGUUGGCUAGUAGGUGGGGUAACGGCUCACCUAGGCGACGAUCCCUAGCUGGUCUGAGAGGAUGACACGCCACACUGGAACUGAGACACGGUCCAGACUCCUACGGGAGUAAGCAGUGGGGAAUAUUGCACAAUGGGGGCAAGCCUGAUGCAGCCAUGCCGCGUGUGUGAAGAAGGCCUUCGGGUUGUAAAGCACUUUCAGCGGGGAGGCGUUACCCGCAGAAGAAGCACCGGCUAACUCCGUGCCAGCAGCCGCGGUAAUUC
rnacentral:rRNA from 1 species